CUAAGACGUAUCUGGCUGUGGUGUGUGUCACGCUGUGGCUUGUGGGGACUGAUCCUUCUGACCUGGCUGACAAGAUGGGUGCCCCUGUGCCUCACCCUAUUAUGGGCACCCUGUGGAAGCCGUGUGCUCAGAGAAUGUCUUUUCCAGAGAACCGUGCCUCAGUCAGGGGUAUAUGGGUCGUUUCCCCCUCUUCUUUUAAUCUCCAGACAAACCAUCGCAGUCUACUUUGUGAUACAUUCCACUGUGGGACACGUUUGUGCAUCUAGUGUUUUCCACAUUUG
rnacentral:sRNA from 1 species